GGUACACGCUGUGACUAGCAUAUCAAUAAGCGGAGGAAAAGAAACUAACAAGGAUUCCCCUAGUAACGGCGAGUGAAGCGGGAAGAGCUCAAAUUUGAAAUCUUAAAGGGUUUCCCUUUACGAAUUGUAGUUUAAAGAAGUGUUUUCUGUUGAGGUUUUGGUAAAAGUUCUUUGGAAUAGGACAUCAUAGAGGGUGAGAAUCCCGUAUUUGACCUUUACUUUCAACUUUGUGAUACACUUUCAAAGAGUCGGAUUGUUUGGGAAUGCAGUCCAAAAUGGGUGGUAAAUUUCAUCUAAAGCUAAAUAUUGGCGAGAGACCGAUAGCGAACAAGUACCGUGAGGGAAAGAUGAAAAGAACUUUGAAAAGAGAGUUAAACAGUACGUGAAAUUGUCAAAAGGGAAGCGUUUGACACCAGUGUUGUUUUUCUGAAAAUCAAUUAAAGAACUGUAUAUGCUAAGCUGUUUAGACUUUAUCAGCUAAUCUGUUUAGUUUUGAGCUUUUCUUUAAUGCACUUUUCAGUUAACAAGUCAACAUCAAUUUCUUUUGCUGUAAAAAAGCUUGAGGAAGGUGGCUUGAGAUUCGUCUUAAGUGUUUAUAGCCUCUUGCCUAUGCAGUCGGAGAGAUUGAGGUCUGCAGCGUAGAUCCUUCGGGGCUAAAUGCAUUUGUGCUAAGUUAUAACAUUUUAUAGACAACUUGUUGACUAUGAUUUGUCUUGUAGCUUACUCGCUUAUGUUAUUUUACCUACGCUUAGGAUGUUGACGCGCGUGUGUGCGUG
rnacentral:rRNA from 1 species